rnacentral:rRNA from 1 species
UAGAGUGCUGUAGGGGAGACUGGAAUUCNUGGUGUAGCGGUGGAAUGCGCAGAUAUCAGGAGGAACACCGAUGGCGAAGGCAGGUCUCUGGGCAGUAACUGACGCUGAGGAGCGAAAGCAUGGGGAGCGAACAGGAUUAGAUACCCUGGUAGUCCAUGCUGUAAACGGUGGGCGUUAGGUGUGGGGACCGGUUUGGUUUCUGUGCCGUAGCUAACGCAUUAAGCGCCCCGCCUGGGGAGUACGGCCGCAAGGCUAAAACUCAAAGGAAUUGACGGGGGCCCGCACAAGCGGCGGAGCAUGUGGAUUAAUUCGAUGCAACGCGAAGAACCUUACCUGGGUUUGACAUGCACCAGACGGUUGUAGAGAUACGUACCUCCCUUUGUGGUUGGUGUGCAGGUGGUGCAUGGUUGUCGUCAGCUCGUGUCGUGAGAUGUUGGGUUAAGUCCCGCAACGAGCGCAACCCUUGUCUUAUGUUGCCAGCACUUUGGGUGGGGACUCAUGAGAGACUGCCGGGGUUAACUCGGAGGAAGGUGGGGAUGACGUCAAAUCAUCAUGCCCUUUAUGCCCAGGGCUUCACACAUGCUACAAUGGUUAGUACAACGCGCUGCGAACCUGUGAGGGUGAGCGAAUCGCUGAAAGCUAAUCUCAGUUCGGAUUGGGGUCUGCAACUCGACCCCAUGAAGUCGGAGUCGCUAGUAAUCGCAGAUCAGCAAUGCUGCGGUGAAUACGUUCCCGGGCCUUGUACACACCGCCCGUCACGUCAUGAAAGUUGGUAACACCCGAAGCCCAUGGCCUA